GUGACCUCAGAUCAGGUAGAA
rnacentral:rRNA from 1 species